rnacentral:rRNA from 1 species
GACGAAGGGGGCUAGCGUUGUUCGGAAUUACUGGGCGUAAAGCGCGUGUAGGUGGUUUGCCAAGUUGGGUGUGAAAGCCUUGAGCUCAACUCAAGAAAUGCACUCAGUACUGGCAGACUAGAGGACCGGAGAGGAUAGUGGAAUUCCCAGUGUAGUGGUGAAAUACGUAGAGAUUGGGAAGAACACCAGUGGCGAAGGCGGCUAUCUGGACGGUUUCUGACACUAAGACUCGAAAGCGUGGGGAGCAAACAGG